CCCGCACAAGCGGUGGAGCAUUGUGGUUUAAUUCGAAGCAACGCGAAGAACCUUACCAGGUCUUGACAUCCCGAUGCUAUUUCUAGAGAUAGAAAGUUACUUCGGUACAUCGGUGACAGGUGGUGCAUGGUUGUCGUCAGCUCGUGUCGUGAGAUGUUGGGUUAAGUCCCGCAACGAGCGCAACCCCUACGUUUAGUUGCUAACGCGUGAAGGCGAGCACUCUAGACGAACUGCCGUUGACAAAACGGAGGAAGGUGGGGAUGACGUCAAAUCAUCAUGCCCCUUAUGUUCUGGGCUACACACGUGCUACAAUGGCCGGUACAGACGGACGCAAAGCCGCGAGGUGGAGCAAAUCCUAAAAAGCCGGUCUCAGUUCGGAUUGCAGGCUGCAAUUCGCCUGCAUGAAGUCGGAAUCGCUAGUAAUCGCAGGUCAGCAUACUGCGGUGAAUACGUUCCCGGGCCUU
rnacentral:rRNA from 1 species